AUUGAACGCUGGCGGCAGGCCUAACACAUGCAAGUCGAGCGGAUGAAGGGAGCUUGCUCCUGGAUUCAGCGGCGGACGGGUGAGUAAUGCCUAGGAAUCUGCCUGGUAGUGGGGGAUAACGUCCGGAAACGGGCGCUAAUACCGCAUACGUCCUGAGGGAGAAAGUGGGGGAUCUUCGGACCUCACGCUAUCAGAUGAGCCUAGGUCGGAUUAGCUAGUUGGUGGGGUAAAGGCCUACCAAGGCGACGAUCCGUAACUGGUCUGAGAGGAUGAUCAGUCACACUGGAACUGAGACACGGUCCAGACUCCUACGGGAGGCAGCAGUGGGGAAUAUUGGACAAUGGGCGAAAGCCUGAUCCAGCCAUGCCGCGUGUGUGAAGAAGGUCUUCGGAUUGUAAAGCAGUUUAAGUGGGGAGGAAGGGCAGUAAGUUAAUACCUUGCUGUGUUGACGUUACCAACAGAAUAAGCACCGGCUAACUUCGUG
rnacentral:rRNA from 1 species